UUUAUGGAGAGUUUGAUCCUGGCUCAGGACGAACGCUGGCGGCGUGCCUAAUACAUGCAAGUCGAGCGGAGAUUUAAAAGCUUGCUUUUAAAUCUUAGCGGCGGACGGGUGAGUAACACGUGGGCAACCUGCCCUGUAGACUGGGAUAACUUCGGGAAACCGAAGCUAAUACCGGAUAAUCUUUAGCNUCACAUGGUGCAAAAGUAAAAGUUGGGUUUUACCUAACACUACAGGAUGGGCCCGCGGCGCAUUAGCUAGUUGGUAAGGUAAUGGCUUACCAAGGCNACGAUGCGUAGCCGACCUGAGAGGGUGAUCGGCCACACUGGGACUGAGACACGGCCCAGACUCCUACGGGAGGCAGCAGUAGGGAAUCUUCCGCAAUGGACGAAAGUCUGACGGAGCAACGCCGCGUGAACGAUGAAGGCCUUCGGGUCGUAAAGUUCUGUUGUUAGGGAAGAACAAGUACCGUUCGAAUAGGGCGGUACCUUGACGGUACCUAACCAGAAAGCCACGGCUAACAGGCCUUCGGGUCGUAAAGUUCUGUUGUUAGGGAAGAACAAGUACCGUUCGAAUAGGGCGGUACCUUGACGGUACCUAACCAGAAAGCCACGGCUAAC
rnacentral:ncRNA from 2 species